rnacentral:miRNA from 1 species
ACGAGUAUUCUUGGGAAAUUAAC